rnacentral:rRNA from 1 species
UACGGAGGAUGCGAGCGUUAUCCGGAUUUAUUGGGUUUAAAGGGUGCGUAGGCGGGCUGAUAAGUCAGCGGUGAAAUCUCCAGGCUCAACCUGGAACCUGCCGUUGAAACUGUCAGUCUUGAGUAUGGAUGAAGUAGGCGGAAUUCGUUGUGUAGCGGUGAAAUGCUUAGAUAUAGCGAGGAACUCCAAUUGCGUAGGCAGCUUACUAAGCCAUAACUGACGCUGAGGCACGAAAGCGUGGGUAUCAAACAGG